rnacentral:tRNA from 1 species
CCCUGGGUAGCGUGAACAGUUAAGCACUUGACUGCUAAUCAAAAGGUUGGUGGUUUGAACCCAUCCACAGGCU